ACGCUCGACACCUACUGGAGGCAGCAGUGAGGAAUAUUGGUCAAUGGGCGCUAGCCUGAACCAGCCAAGUAGCGUGAAGGAUGAAGGCUCUAUGGGUCGUAAACUUCUUUUAUAUAAGAAUAAAGUGCAGUAUGUAUACUGUUUUGUAUGUAUUAUAUGAAUAAGGAUCGGCUAACUCCGUACCAGCAGCCGCGGUAAUCUGAGCGGGCUGGCAAGGC
rnacentral:rRNA from 1 species